GGAAUCUCUCGGGGUUACAGCCUUGCUGAAUUAUUCACCCUUGUCUUUUGCGUACUUCUUGUUUCCUUGGUGGGUUCGCCCACCACUAGGACAAACAUAAACCUUUUGUAAUUGCAAUCAGCGUCAGUAACAAAUUAAUAAUUACAACUUUCAACAACGGAUCUCUUGGUUCUGGCAUCGAUGAAGAACGCAGCGAAAUGCGAUAAGUAGUGUGAAUUGCAGAAUUCAGUGAAUCAUCGAAUCUUUGAACGCACAUUGCGCCCUUUGGUAUUCCAAAGGGCAUGCCUGUUCGAGCGUCAUUUGUACCCUCAAGCUUUGCUUGGUGUUGGGCGUCUUGUCUCUAGCUUUGCUGGAGACUCGCCUUAAAGUAAUUGGCAGCCGGCCUACUGGUUUCGGAGCGCAGCACAAGUCGCACUCUCUAUCAGCAAAGGUCUAGCAUCCAUUAAGCCUUUUUUCAACUUUUGACCUCGGAUCAGGUAGGGAUACCCGCUGAACUUAA
rnacentral:rRNA from 1 species